CCAGCGCGCGGGGGCGGAGUCUUCCAGCGCGCGGGGCAGCCUCGAGGCGCAGGGCGGAGUCUUAUGGGACGAGACCUCAGCGCCUGCGCAAGCGCUGCCGCCGCCCGGGCUUCCACUUGACCCCGAUAGCUCCGAGUUCCGUAUUGAGGAACGCGAAGCUGUGGUCCUAGAGAUUUACAUGCCUGUAAUCCCAGCACUUUGGGUGGUGGAGGCCGGAGGGUUGCUUGUGCUCAGGAGUUCAAGACCAGACUGGGCAACACAAGGGCCGCGCGCGGAGGCUCAAGCCUGUAAUCCCAGCACUUUGGGAGGCCGAGGCAGGUGGAUCACGAGGUCAAGAGAUCGAGACCAUCAUGGUCAACGUGGUGAAACCCCGUCUCUACUAAAAAUACAAAAAAUUAGCUGGGCACGGUGGUGCGUGCCUGUAAUCCCAGCUACUCAGGAGGCUGAGGCAGAAGAAUUGCCUGAACCCAGGAGGCGGAGGUUGCGGUGAGCCGAGAUCGCGCCAUUGCACUCCAGCCUGGGUAACAAGAGCAAAACUCCGCCUCAAAAAAAAAAAAAAAAAAAAGAAGUCAUUCCUAUAAAUAGCUGAUAAACUUUAAUAUCCUAGAGAGUCUUAUUAGGAGAAAAGAGAGCAGAAAAAAUCUACCAACAUCAAGAAUGGAAAAGAAGGCCAGGCGUGGAGGCCGAGGCGGGUGUAUCACGAGGUCAACAGAUGGAGACCAUCCUGGUCAACAUGGUGAAACCCCGUCUCUACUAAAAAUACAAAAAAUUAGCUGGGCAUGGUGGCACGUGCCUGUAAUCCCAGCUACUCAGGAGGCUGAGGCAGGAGAAUUGCCUGAACCCAGGAGGCGGAGGUUGCGGUGAGCCGAGAUCGCGCCAUUGCACUCCAGCCUGGGUAACAAGAGCGAAACUCCGUCUCAAAAAAAAAAAAGGAAUUGUUUCAACAAUGUCUAUCUAUGGUAACUGUUUUACUAUACUUCUUAAAUCUUACUUCACAUAGUAACUAUUUUUUUGUUUUUUUACUUUGUGAAAUUUUGUCCUUGAACUUUAGUGUGCAUAUAUGUAUUUGUAUUUAUAUAUAUGUAUGUAUAAAAUAUGUAUAUAUGUAUAAUAUGUGUAUUAAAUAUCACAUAUAUGUAUUAUCACAUAUAUUAUAUGUAUUAUAUGUCACAUAUAUAUAAAAUAUGUUUUGGAUUAGACGGCCUUUGAGGUAUCUAUUUUCUAAUCUGUGCUGCUCUAUCUUAAUGCUUGUAAUUCAGCAAUUUGGAAACGGGUGGUGAAAAAAAUUAGUGCAAUUGAGUCAUAUUCUCCAUGACCUUUCAUUAUAAAACAUAAUGAGACAAACACAAAGCAUUUUACUCCAAUGAAUAAUCAUCACACUUUAAUAUAAUAACAAACAUACGAUAUAUUUAAGUUAGAACACUACUUCGAUAAGACAAUCAUACUCAAGCUAAGAUACAAGGUACAGAUAUACUGAAAUUGUAAAGUAUCCAUUUUCAUGUUUGCUGUUUACUUCUCUUACUGGACCAAGACCAAUAAGAUAGAUGUGUUGCAUUACUCUUACAAUCUAAGACUUCACCUCUAGCUCAGGGAAAAUACUGGUGGAAACCUGUUUUACCAAAAAGCAGCUUUAGUAUCUGUUUAACCAGGUUAUUCUGUAAUAAGAACUCCAUUUUAAUGUACAUUAUCCAUUACGAAUGUGUUAGACUGAGAUAUUCUAUGCAACAGACAUUUAAAGGGCCAUAUCCACAUAGAAAACAGUGUUUAAUGCAUAUGCCACAGCUUUAUUUCUAUGUUUGAAAAUCUCAACAAACGAUUUAAAUCUCACGUGAUGUUUUAUUUGCCUGCCAAAAUGCAAGCUUAGUGAUCUGGGCUCAUAUACAAUCUCUGGAAGUUAGCCAAGAAGUCACAAGAAAAUAAGCCCAGGGCUGUUGAAAAUAGUGGUCCAAAUAUUUACUUUAUCGAAAUUUAAUAUAUCUGUAUAACUCACCAAAAGCUGUUUUUGUUUUAUGCAGAGUUGUAUGUUAAUUAUCUUAUUUGUAAAAUCAUAAUAGACCCUGAAUUACAAAAAAGGCAUAACAUUUUAUUAUGUUUUCUAUUGCACUCAAGUAUAGUUAAAGCUGAAGUGAAUAAACGUAGUAUUUACCCUUGCAGAGGACUAGCUCUGUAGUGUCUUUUUUUAUACAAUAUUGUCUGUUGCUAUUACUUGCAAAUACAGUAUACUGUAAACCCUUGUUUUGUGUAAAAAGAAUUAGAAACAGUGCAAUUAAGUUCACUAUAUACAUUUUUUAAGAUCUCCAAAUGUAUUAAAUGGCACCCACUCUUUAAAAGCUCCACGAUUUAUCAUCUAUCACUGAUAGACAUUUGGGUUGGUUCCAAGUUUUUGCUAUUGUGGGGGCUAGGAGAGGAAUAGCAGGGGGUAGGGGACUAGGGGAGGGAUAGCAUUAUAAGAAAUACCUAAUGUACAUGAUGGGGUGAUGAAUGCAGCAAACCACCAUGGCACGUGUAUACCUAGGUAACAAACCUGCACAUGUACCCCAGAACUUAAAGUAUAA